GGGUAAAACGCUGGCGGCGUGCCUAAUACAUGCAAGUCGAGCGAACUGAUUAGAAGCUUGCUUCUAUGACGUUAGCGGCGGACGGGUGAGUAACACGUGGGCAACCUGCCUGUAAGACUGGGAUAACUCCGGGAAACCGGAGCUAAUACCGGAUAACAUUUUCUCUUGCAUAAGAGAAAAUUGAAAGAUGGUUUCGGCUAUCACUUACAGAUGGGCCCGCGGUGCAUUAGCUAGUUGGUGAGGUAACGGCUCACCAAGGCAACGAUGCAUAGCCGACCUGAGAGGGUGAUCGGCCACACUGGGACUGAGACACGGCCCAGACUCCUACGGGAGGCAGCAGUAGGGAAUCUUCCGCAAUGGACGAAAGUCUGACGGAGCAACGCCGCGUGAGUGAUGAAGGCUUUCGGGUCGUAAAACUCUGUUGUUAGGGAAGAACAAGUACAAGAGUAACUGCUUGUACCUUGACGGUACCUAACCAGAAAGCCACGGCUAACUACGUGCCAGACCGCCGCGGUAA
rnacentral:rRNA from 2 species